UAAAUACUAUUUAUCCGUUUAAAACAAAAUGAAAAAAAUAUGCAGUCUGACAGCCCAAAAAAAAAUCAUUGAAACAAUACAAUUCCUUCUUGAAUCCUAAAUUCCUCUAAUAUCGGUUCGGACGCUCUGUUUAGCCGAUAUCCAGGGUUAGGGUUUAAUUUCAUAUAUCAGAAAUUUUCUUGAAUAUUAAUUCCCGGUGCACCGGUAAAUGGAUAACUCGAAUUCAAUUCAAGUUGUGUAGAAUUCGCAACACUAGAAAUGUGUUAUUCAAUUCAUGCAUGGGUAGAUUGAAGCUUAAGCGAUUCAGCAAAAUUUUUGCUUCUCUUGUUUUCAAUGAAGAUUGCUCCGACCAUCUAAACGUAAACGGCAAUUACCAGCAAAAUGGAGGUUUUUUUUUAUUUCAUUUGAUUUUAUUUAUUUCCCCGCAUAUUCUUGUAACAGAUAAUUUCAAUCUCAUGCUAGAAUCUUGUUGGCCUCCGUUUAUUGGCUGGAAUCCAUAAACAGAGUACAAGCUUGGUGGGCUUCUUGAAAUUUUGUGUUGUAAGAUAAAUGAACUAUUUUCUCUCCUUUUUUUUUUCGGAGGAGAAGCAAUGAAUUGUCGUCACCAAAAUCAAUUGCUUAUGCAAAGCAACGCCUUCUUUUGGUGGAAGGCAAAGCUAUUUUGCUGAAUCGCUAGCUCUGUGUCUUUGAGCACACAGUAUUGGGAGAGUGGAAUCGUGCAAUCCGAAGAAGCUAUUCGCUUGCUAAUAUCAUCUUCUCCAUCUUGAACAGAAGGACGAAGAAAUGAAGCCCUCAAAGGAACUCCAUAUCCAGAAGGAGAACGAUCCAGUUCCUAAAGGUUGGAUAGAGUACAUAUGUGAUGAUAGUCUCAGACUCGCAAUUCCAGUCGGACCUCGUUUUCAGGCUGAUCUGCCAGCUUUGCCUGUUUCCCUACACAAGAAUGGUCAGCACAACAUGCACAGGAAAUCUCGCAGUUCAAAGUGGUUAAGCAUCAAGGUAUGGCCAACUAAAGGCAGAAGCCUGGAAGUCUCUGGAGAUGUGAUCGGAAAAGGAAGACCCAAGUCUUGUUCAUGUGUAUCCCCUGGAUCUGUUGAAUGCGUUAGACAGCACAUCAAUGCUAAGAAAAUCCAGCUGCAAUCUGAUCUGGGGCCUGCCUUUUGGCAAUGGAAA